rnacentral:tRNA from 1 species
GCGCUCGUAGCUCAGCUGGAUAGAGUACCUGGCUACGAACCAGGCGGUUGGAGGUUCGAAUCCUCCCGAACGCG